rnacentral:rRNA from 1 species
UAUCUCUGUAGAGUCUGCAUAUCAAUAAGCGGAGGAAAAGAAACUAACUAGGAUUCCCUUAGUAACGGCGAGUGAAGCGGGAAGAGCUCAAAUUUGAAAUCUUCAAGGCUCUACCUUGACGAAUUGUAGUUUAAAGAAGUGUUUUCUGUUAGGAUGAGUAGCAAAAGUUCCUUUGGAAUAGGGACAUCAUAGAGGGUGAGAAUCCCGUAUUUGUUACAUUCAUUCCUAGCGUUGUGAUACACUUUCAAAGAGUCGGAUUGUUUGGGAAUGCAGUCCAAAAUGGGUGGUAAAUUUCAUCUAAAGCUAAAUAUUGGCGAGAGACCGAUAGCGAACAAGUACCGUGAGGGAAAGAUGAAAAGAACUUUGAAAAGAGAGUUAAACAGUACGUGAAAUUGUCAAAAGGGAAGCGUUUGACACCAGUGUUGUUUUUCCGAAAAUCAAUUACGAAUGGCUUGAUUUUGUGUUGUAUUGACCUUAUCAGCUUUCUUCACUUUUUUCGAGUCUUUCUUAAUGCACUUUUCGGUUAACAAGUCAACAUCAAUUUCUUUUGUUGUAAAAGAGUAUUCGGAAGGUGGCUUUCUUUUCGGAGAAAGUGUUUAUAGCCCUAUACUUCUACAAUCGGAGAGAUUGAGGUCUGCAGCGUAGAUCCUUCGGGGUUAGAUACACUUGUGCUAAGUUGUAGCUUUUCAUAGACAACUUGUUGACUAUGUUUAGUCAUGCGGCUUACUCGCUUGUGCUAUUUUACCUACGCUUAGGAUGUUGACUGAUAUGUAGUCGUA